rnacentral:rRNA from 1 species
UACGGAGGGUGCAAGCGUUGUCCGGAUUUAUUGGGUUUAAAGGGUGCGUAGGCGGCCCGGUAAGUCAGUGGUGAAAGCCUCCAGCUCAACUGGAGAACUGCCAUUGAUACUAUCAGUCUUGAAUACCGUGGAGGUAAGCGGAAUAUGUCAUGUAGCGGUGAAAUGCUUAGAUAUGACAUAGAACACCAAUUGCGAAGGCAGCUUACUACCCGAAUAUUGACACUGAGGCACGAAAGCGUGGGGAUCAAACAGG